rnacentral:lncRNA from 1 species
GCCCAGCUCAAGGGUCGACAAGCAUCUCUCUGCACUGUCAGUUUUGACCCAUCGUCUGGUACCCUGGGUCCUAAUGCCAGCGCAGAAAUCACACUCACUUUAACGUCGCACACAGACGUAAGUACGGGAUGUUAAGAGAUGAUUUUAUUCCAUGUGUCUGCACUGCUACUAUAUUUUAACCCUCCCUUCAUCCUCCUGUGUUAUUUACUACAGCUGGAGCUAAAUGAGGUGGCCGCUCUUUGUGAAGUCCAAGGAAUGAAACAUCCUGUUGUUUUAUCCAUUUUUGCUUCCAAAUCUAAAACGCUCAGCGUGUCCUUCUCACUGCCCGCUGACAGGUAGCAGCUUUUAAUUCAUGCUUGCAGAUGCCUCCGAUAUAUUCUACUCUAGGAACCUAAUUCACCUCUGUUUAUUUGGUCUUUCUAGCUCCUCAAAAGACGAUCAAAUCCCUUCGACGAUGGAACUUGAUUUUGGGAAGGAUGUACUUUUGAAAAGUGCUGUUACCAAGCAGUUACAGAUCACUAAUCAGACGCCUAUUGCAGCACCUUUUACUAUUGAGGUGGAGUAUUUCACCUGCUCUGCCUCUCAGUCUCAGAUAAAUGACCGAAGAGAAAAAAGGUGACAAACUACCUCACUGGUUUUAAUAUUUAACAAAAACAACACUGCUGAGAGUGAAGCAUAACAUGUUCCUUAUCCAUUUAUCACAGGUUCACUUAUGUCAGCAAAACUCUUCACUCAGUUCAGGCUAAAAAAGUGGAAGAUAAAGCACAACAAGAGUUUAUCAGUGACCUACUGGCUCAUGGAAAAGGUGCAGCGUUUUUGGUUCAGCCUCCAACAGGGACACUGGGACCGUUCCAGACUCAGAUUGUAGAUGUGACGGCUUACAACGACCUGUGGGGAGAAUACAGAGAUCACCUCAUCUGCAAAGUGGGAGACUUGGAGGCUACGUUUAUUCCCAUGCAGAUGACAGUCAAAGGAUGUCCGCUGUUUUUUCAGAUGAAAGGGCCUCGUCACGAGAACCACCAUGAAGGACCAAUCAUACAGUUUGGUACUCACCUUUCUGGAGGCGACACCGUGUCUCGUGCUCUCUGCAUAAACAAUCCCGGCGCCACUGACAUUCGUUUAGACUGGGAGACUUACAACAUAGAUCAGGACGAUCGCAAACUACCGGAUGACGACGUAGACGCUUUCCCACUCGAAGAUGCUGAUGACACCGUGGUGCAGGAAGGAAAUCCUAGCAACGGUUCAGAUGUUUGGAAAAGGUCUUCGAAUUCAUCGUCUGAACGAACAAGCACCUCUUCUCAAAGCAAAGCAGUGGGUACUUUAGAAACCAGGACGUAGAAUCAGGGGUGUCAAACUCAUUUUAGUUCAGGGGCUAAAUACGGUUUUAGGCGGCACUUCCAGUUAUGAAAUAGACUUAAAGCAUGGAAGGCAUCAGCAAUAUCUAAGCAGUGAAAGGUCCUUUGAAUUAAAUUUUUUUU